GCGCUGACGAGUGGCGGACGGGUGCGUAACGCGUAGGAAUCUGCCUAUUAGUGGGGGACAACAUGGUGAAAACCAUGCUAAUACCGCAUACGCCCUACGGGGGAAAGCGGGGGAUCUUCGGACCUCGCGCUAAUAGAUGAGCCUGCGUUAGAUUAGCUAGUUGGUAAGGUAAUGGCUUACCAAGGCAACGAUCAAUAGCUGUUCUUAGAGGAAGACCAGCCACAUUGGGACUGAGACACGGCCCAAACUCC
rnacentral:rRNA from 1 species